rnacentral:lncRNA from 1 species
UCUCCGGGGGUCGAAGCUGAAGGUCCUGGAAAGAACCGGCUGCUGUCUGCUAGAUCAUUCCUGUGAUAGAGCCGCACUCGGCGCUGGCCUGUGGGAAAGGCUACAGCCAGGCGGGGGAGAGGGCUCGUGGUUUUCAUUUCCCCAACACCUGGAUGCAGUCAAACACCUGGCCAAAUCUGAGAAAAUCUGACAAGCCUUUGUGAUGGGAUUUGGAAGAAAUUCCCUGCAGAUCCUGGCACAGUUUAAAGCUGUCCGCUUUGAGUUAGGACUUGUUAAGGAGGGUUGUGUGAGCUGAAACCCGAGACAAC